UAAUGCCAUCUGGGCAUUGAGUGCUUUGGC
rnacentral:piRNA from 1 species